rnacentral:rRNA from 1 species
AAACCAACAGGGAUUGCCUCAGUAACGGCGAGUGAAGCGGCAAAAGCUCAAAUUUGAAAUCUAGCACCUUCGGUGUUCGAGUUGUAAUUUGAAGAUGGUAACCUUGGGUUUGGCUCUUGUCUAUGUUCCUUGGAACAGGACGUCAUAGAGGGUGAGAAUCCCGUCUGAUGAGAUGCCCAUUCCUAUGUAAGGUGCUAUCGAAGAGUCGAGUUGUUUGGGAAUGCAGCUCUAAGUGGGUGGUAAAUUCCAUCUAAAGCUAAAUAUUGGCGAGAGACCGAUAGCGAACAAGUACAGUGAUGGAAAGAUGAAAAGAACUUUGAAAAGAGAGUGAAAAAGUACGUGAAAUUGUUGAAAGGGAAGGGCAUUAGAUCAGACUUGGUGUUUUACGAUUAUCUUCUCUUCUUGAGUUGUGCACUCGUAUUUCACUGGGCCAGCAUCGAUUCGGAUGGCAAGAUAAUGGCAGUUGAAUGUGGCUUCACUUCGGUGGAGUGUUAUAGCUUCUGCUGAUAUUGCCUGUCUGGAUCGAGGGCUGCGUCUUUGACUAGGAUGCGGCGAAUUU